CAUGGACCACAGAGUGGGAGAGCCAGGUUAGGAGAGAAAGAAGGUGAAGCAAGAUGCUGAGAAGAAAAAGAAUAAAAUAAUCUCCUGGAAAACAAACAUACAAAUCCCUUUCUCAUUCCCAAGAGAACAUUAAUUUGAUUUAAGAUUUCUUCUCUUUUUCCUUGUACUUCAGAAAAGCUGACCUAAUUGCCAGCUCCAAGAUGCAUAAACCCAGGAUCCUGUUGAUGACAAUGUUUGAUCCAAGGGUAAACACAUGUCCUGAGUUGCCUCAAUCAGACUAAAGGAAGGGACCUUACAGUUUUUGAUUAGGGAAAUGAUUAUUUCUCUGUCUUUUUGACUCUCUGUGAUGAUGUGAGCACAUAGAUCAAAUGAAACUUCUAGUGCAGGGCUCCCCAACCCUGGUCUGUGGCCUAUUAGGAACCGGGCCACACACAGCAGGAGGUAAGCAGCAGGUGAGCCAGUGAAGCUUUAUCUGUAUUUACAGCCACUCCCCAUCACUUGCAUUACCAUCUGAGUUCCACCUCCUGUCAGAGCAGUGUAGGCACAAACCUGAAUGUUAACUGCAUAUGUGAGGGAUCUAGGUUGAACGCUCCUUAUGAGAACUUCAUGCAUGAUGAUCUAUCACGGUAUCCCAUCUCUCCCAAAUGGGACCAUCUAGGUGCAGGAAAACAAGACCAGGGCUCCCACUGAUUCUAUAUGACGGCCUGAAAGAUAAGACAAAGAGGUUCCUACAACCUGGAGACCGAGAAGGCUGCCAGGCAGGAGCUGUGAUUGCAGCUGAAAGAUGCAGCCGGUCUUUAGCAACUCCACAUGGAGGAAGCCAGGAAAAUAAAUACUCCAAUCAAUCACAAUUUCUUUUUCUGCUAUGUCUUGCCCAUGCUCUGAAUUUUUCAAAAUCGACUGGAAGCUAGAAAGCAAAGGAGAACUUUGAUUCAUCCAUAAGCCAGAUUCCCACAACAAAAGAAAGCCACAGAUCUCCUCAGAUGGCCUCCCUCACACAUUGCUCCCAAGGAAAUUC
rnacentral:lncRNA from 1 species